GGAUUGCCUCAGUAACGGCGAGUGAAGCGGCAACAGCUCAAAUUUGAAAUCUGGCCCUUCCAGGGUCCGAGUUGUAAUUUGUAGAGGGGAUUUCGGGUGCGGCGCCGGUCUAAGUCCCUUGGAACAGGGCGUCAUAGAGGGUGAGAAUCCCGUAUGUGACCGGCGAUCAACCCUAUGUGAAACCCCUUCGACGAGUCGAGUUGUUUGGGAAUGCAGCUCAAAAUGGGUGGUAAAUUUCAUCUAAAGCUAAAUACCGGCCAGAGACCGAUAGCGCACAAGUAGAGUGAUCGAAAGAUGAAAAGCACUUUGGAAAGAGAGUUAAAAAGUACGUGAAAUUGUUGAAAGGGAAGCGCUUGCAACCAGACCUGCACCCGGGCGAUCAGCGGUCCUUUUGGGACCGUGCACUCGUCCGUGAACAGGCCAGCAUCGGUUUCGGCGGCCGGAUAAAGGCUUGAAGAAUGUGGCUCCCCUCGGGGAGUGUUAUAGCUUCCCGCGCAAUACGGCCAGCCGGGACCGAGGACCGCGCUUCGGCUAGGAUGCUGGCGUAAUGGUUGUAAGCGACCCGUCUUGAAACACGGACCAAGGAGUCUAACAUCUAUGCAAGUGUUUGGGUGUCAAACCCACGCGCGGAAUGAAAGUGAACGGAGGUGGGAACCCUCAAGGGCGCACCAUCGACCGAUCCAGAUGUCUUCGGAUGGAUUUGAGUAUGAGCAUAGCUGUUGGGACCCGAAAGAUGGUGAACUAUGCCUGAAUAGGGUGAAGCCAGAGGAAACUCUGGUGGAGGCUCGCAGCGGUUCUGACGUGCAAAUCGAUCGUCAAAUUUGGGUAUAGGGGCGAAAGACUAAUCGAACCAUCCCUGGGGUUAUAUAGUUAGAUUGUCGUAACUAACUUCCCACGCUGCUAGGUGGUUAAUUAGAGCAUUAUUGGAAAUUAUGCUCUCAGCCUUUCGAGGCGACAAUGCUAGCUGCAUGAAUUUCUUUAGGGCAACCUCAUAUGAUUUGACAUGCUGCAGUCCGCCGUACCUUAUAAGGACGGCGCUGUCCACAGACCAAACAGCAUUGGCCAGGCGCUGUAACGGCCCUGGUUUUGAAAUGGCCGAGUCCUACUCCUUGUGGAGUCGGUUUCGAGAAUACUUUGCGAAUGGUUCGGAUUCUUGCCCCUGGCGGUUGAAUUCCCCAAGGUGGAAUAAUUGGCUCUUCGUGGGUUCGAUCUUCUCGAAACCUCUCAAGUAUUGACGCUAGUAGCUGGUUCCUGCCGAAGUUUCCCUCAGGAUAGCAGUAACGUUUUCAGUUUUAUGAGGUAAAGCGAAUGAUUAGAGGCCUUGGGGUUGAAACANCCUUAACCUAUUCUCAAACUUUAAAUAUGUAAGAAGUCCUUGUUACUUAGUUGAACGUGGACAUUUGAAUGCACCGUUACUAGUGGGCCAUUUUUGGUAAGCAGAACUGGCGAUGCGGGAUGAACCGAACGUGGGGUUAAGGUGCCGGAAUGUACGCUCAUCAGACACCACAUCGAUAUAAUAGACUUCUCGGGUCUGGCUACAAGUUUUCCGGGGGAUUACAAUUGUGGUGUCUGUUGCCCUCGAAAAAGAACUCACAUUUCGAGGCGUAGUCUUGAACUUCAAGGCAAGGUUUUCCAUCUGUAAGGGCUCACUUUUCCCAAAGUUUACCUUCUGCCGUCGAACGGCCCACAGAUCAAGCGAAGGCCGGCGGUUGGUUUUUACCGUUGAAGAUAUGAUCGGCCUCUAGGGCUCAUAAACCUGGAGAUAUAGUGCAAAAGGUGUUGAUUCAUCUAGACAGCCGGACGGUGGCCAUGGAAGUCGGAAUCCGCUAAGGAAUGUGUAACAACUCACCGGCCGAAUGAAUCAGCCCUGAAAAUGGAUGGCGCUCAAGCGUGCUACCCAUACCCCACCGCCAGGGUAGAAACGAUGCCCU
rnacentral:rRNA from 1 species